AUUUAAGUAGUUUAAGAAAAACGUUAGUUUGUGGUGCUAGAGAUAUAUAGAAGAGUAUUUUAGAUC
rnacentral:tRNA from 1 species